UAGCUUGACAUUGAAAAGUGAGGAAGCAACAAUUACAAAGACGCCAAGGGAUUAUUUGAAGGCGAAAUCGCCAAAGAGAAGCGUGAACUAUCUAGUAGCACACGCCGGAGAGGAUGAAUCGAUUGAGAGACAAGAAAAUGAAGACGACGACGGAAGAGCAAGUGUUGAGGACGACGACGAAGAGGACGAAUUAAUGUCGUCCGAUUAAAGUUUUUUUUUUACGACAGGUGAGGGACGGGGAAAUGGAUUCGCCGGUAAAAAACUCGCCGAGAUAAUCGCCGGAGUCGAGAUGAUGUUAGCGUUGUGAUGAUUUAAGAGUAUUGACUGCUUAGAUAAAUGAAAUUGUUAAGUCGUCGUGGAGGGAUUGGGUGAGAAAGAGAGGUUUCUUACAAAUUGGUUUUUAUUUAUAAAUUGAGAUUAGAGAAUUAAACCGAAAUUGGUUUAAGGGUAAAAGGGACAAUUUUUUUAUUGAAAGUGCCCUAUGUUCUGAAAGUGUCGUAUCUUGGAAAUUGUUUGAGAAAAGUGUCUUUGAGUGUAAUAUUCUCUUUCAUUUAUGUAUUUUUU
rnacentral:sRNA from 1 species